ensembl:lncRNA
CUUUAUAGUAUAAUUAAAUACUAUAAUUAAAAAGUACUUUAUAGUUCUGAGUACUAUAAACAAACAUAGAUACUAGUUCAUUUUAAAGAAUAAAUGUUAAAAGAGUUUGCCAUACAUGGGUGAGUUGGUUCUGAUCUGAUGAUGACCGUUUUUAUUAUUAUUAUUAUUUUAUUAAAUAUAUUGUCUUCUUGAUUUUCACUCUUGUCUUCUUGAUUCUCACUCUGUCAGGGACCUUGAGAAUGGAUGGAGAAAAAGAAAAAGAGCGGGAGAAAGGAGAUGAAAAAGAGAGUGAUGAGACAGAAGAGGAUGCAGAGGGGGCUGCCUUAUUAUGGCAUGAGGGAUACCUUGAUGAUGAACUGGGCUUACCCAUCAUGCACUGGGAGGAUCUGAGUCUUCGUAUUGCUGAACUUGAGAAGCAACAAGAAGAGCGGAGACAGAGGGAAAAGGACUUGGACAGGCUGACAGUAGACUGGCCCGGAAUCAGAGGGGUGAGCAGUCACAGAGAAACCUGUGAGGACAUGGAGGACGAAUGCAACAGCCGUCUGACUGCUCUGACAUCAAGGCUUCAGAGCCAGAUGAAUCUACAGCUCUGCUUUAUCAACAACAGUGAAAGUGAAGAGGAAGAAGAGGAAAUGGAGUUAAAGAGAGAGGUGGCAAAACGGUCCAGUAAGAGUGGCAGCAAUCAGAGGUUAGAGAAAGAAUGUGGUUCAAGCUCUGCAUCAACAAAGAAAACCAAAUCAAGAGGGUUCAAGAAUGAUGUCAGAGCUGCACUGAGUGUACUCAGACAUAAAUUGAGAUUGGAGCAAAAACAGACUGUACCUCCCAGUGAGGCUGUCAGAGAAAGGAAGCACUAUGAACGAAAUGACUUAAAGAAUUUCAGCUUGAAGGAGUUGAAAGCAUUGAGGACCUCACUUAGCAAAGACAUCCAUGACCUCAGUUCAGAGCUGGUGGGUCGACUUCUCACAAGGGACCAGCUGAGAACAGAACAGGACGCCAUGCUGCUGGAGGUACAAGACAUGGCAUCACUCUGAUGCACAAUCAAAAAAAAGUGUUUCCACUCAGGAUCAAAAUGACGGGACCCUUGCUUUACAAGACUGUCCAUGAGCUGCCUGAACUAAUUGACUUUACUGUGAAAAGCUACAGCACUCCAUCAUCACUUCAAAAGACUUUAAAGGUUUUUACAUUUCAGCUUUUUUAUUGACAUUUUUAAGGCACCGAUGAGGAUUUAAAACUGCAGUUUACACACUUACAGAUCAAAAUGAUAAAGCAACAAAGUGAGAAAAGGCAACUUACAAAGCAACAAAAGACAAUUUUUUUGCUCAAUAUUACUCUAAUUUGUUUAGUGGCAAAACCAAUUAUGCCAAACCUCACACGUUAAGACAUGGCUCAUUAAAUGCUACAAAGGAUGUGUGUGUACAUACAUUGCCAAGCAACUCUUAACUGGAUUGUUUAUGUCACUGUUUGUGAAAUGCUUAAAUAUUAUUUUGUGGAAUAAAAGGGAACUCAAUAAGAUCGUAUAUGUGUAC